AUUGAACGCUGGCGGCAUGCCUUACACAUGCAAGUCGAACGGCAGCACGGGAGCAAUCCUGGUGGCGAGUGGCGAACGGGUGAGUAAUAUAUCGGAACGUGCCCAGUCGUGGGGGAUAACGUAGCGAAAGCUACGCUAAUACCGCAUACGAUCUAUGGAUGAAAGCGGGGGAUCGCAAGACCUCGCGCGAUUGGAGCGGCCGAUAUCAGAUUAGGUAGUUGGGGAGGUAAAGGCUCACCAAGCCGACGAUCUGUAGCUGGUCUGAGAGGACGACGAGCCCAACUGGGUAGUGGACACGGCCCAGACUCCUACGGGAGGCAGCAGUGGGGAAUUUUGGACAAUGGGCGCAAGCCUGAUCCAGCAAUGCCGCGUGCAGGAUGAAGGCCUUCGGGUUGUAAACUGCUUUUGUACGGAACGAAACGGCGAGCUCUAGUACAGUUUGCUAAUGACGGUACCGUAAGAAUAAGCACCGGCUAACUACGUGCCAGCAGCCGCCGUAA
rnacentral:rRNA from 1 species